rnacentral:rRNA from 1 species
GACAGAGGUGCCGAGCGUUAGGCGGAAUCACUGGGCUUAAAGCGUGUGUAGGCGGACUUGUAAGUACCUUGUGAAAUCCCACAGCUCAACCGUGGAACGGCUGGGUAUACUGGCGGUCUUGGGCCAUUCAGGGGCGACUGGAACAAGCGGUGGAGCGGUGAAAUGCGUAGAUAUCGCUUGGAACGCCGAAGGUGAAAACAGGUCGCUGGGGAUGUGCCGACGCUGAGACACGAAAGCCAGGGGAGCAAACGGG